rnacentral:rRNA from 1 species
ACGGGUGAGUAAUAUAUCGGAACAUGCCCUGAAGUGGGGGAUAACGUAGCGAAAGUUACGCUAAUACCGCAUAUUCUGUGAGCAGGAAAGCAGGGGAUCGCAAGACCUUGCGCUUUAGGAGUGGCCGAUAUCGGAUUAGCUAGUUGGUGAAGUAAAAGCUCACCAAGGCGACGAUCCGUAGCGGGUCUGAGAGGAUGAUCCGCCACACUGGGACUGAGACACGGCCCAGACUCCUACGGGAGGCAGCAGUGGGGAAUUUUGGACAAUGGGCGCAAGCCUGAUCCGGCCAUGCCGCGUGAGUGAAGAAGGCCUUCGGGUUGUAAAGCUCUUUCGGUGGGGAAGAAAUUGCUUCGGUUAAUACCCGGAGUAGAUGACGGUACCCGCAUAAGAAGCACCGGCUAACUACGUGCCAGCAGCCGCGGUAAUACGUAGGGUGCGAGCGUUAAUCGGAAUUACUGGGCGUAAAGCGUGCGCAGGCGGUUGUAUAAGUCAGAUGUGAAAUCCCCGGGCUCAACCUGGGAACUGCAUUUGAGACUGUACGGCUAGAGUGUGGCAGAGGGGGGUGGAAUUCCACGUGUAGCAGUGA